GGCCAAAUUCUGCUAUGGUGUGAGCAUAGAAAUCACACUCUCAAAUGUGGCCAUGCUGCGAUGCACAGCUCACUAUCUGCAAAUGACUGAAGAAUUCACAGAAAAAAACUUGGAACUACGGACUGAAAUCUACAUAAAAGAAACAGUCAUCCCAAACAUUGCAUACUCUAUAUCUGUUCUUCACCGUUGUGAGAACCUCCUUCCACUAGCAGAAGAGAUUAAUUUGGUCAACCGAAUCAUAACAGCGAUUGCAACCAAUGUCUGCAAAGAGCAGUUGACAUCUGGCUUGUCCAAACUUGAGCAUAACUUACCCCUUAAACCAAUGACAGUAGAGGUAGAGCCCCCAUCAGACUGGUGGGGAAAGGCUUUAGCAGUGCUAAACCUAGAUUUCUUUCAAAGAGUCCUCUCUGCAAUGAAAUCAAAGGGUCUCAAACAGGACAGCAUUAGCAGGAUCUUGAUCAAUUAUGCCCACAACUCUCUCCAAAACCUCUUGGUUAGAGACAUUCAAACAUCAAAGGGGAGCUUCUCAGAUGCGGAAACACAGAAGAAACAAAAGGUCAUUGUAGAAGCUAUAGUCAGCCUACUUCCAGCCCAAUCGAGAAGGUCCCCAGUGCCAAUGGCAUUUCUUUCAGGUCUUUUGAAGACUGCAAUGAUGGUCUCAGCAUCAACCAUCUGCAAAGCAGAUUUGGAGAAAAGAAUUGGUUGGCAGCUAGACCAAGCUAUUCUUGAAGACAUACUAAUCCCAGCCAACUCUCACAAUGGGCAUCAUUUGUUAUAUGACACAGAUUCAGUAUCAAGGAUCUUUUCCAUCUUUGUGAAUUUGGAUGAGGAAGAGGAUGACGGGUCUCAGUUGAGGGAAGACAGGGAUGGUUGCUAUGAGUUUGACAGUCCAAGUUCUCCAAAACAAAGCUUGAUACUCAAGGUAUCAAAGCUUAUGGAUAGUUAUCUUGCAGAAAUUGCACUGGAUUCUAACUUGACGCCAUCAAAGUUUAUUGCGCUGGCAGAGCUACUCCCAGAUCAUGCACGAGUAGUUAAUGAUGGUCUGUACAGAGCUGUUGAUAUCUUCCUAAAGGUAACAUUCUUCGCAUCAGUGAGUCAUCUUAUUCGCAUAAUAGCAAAUCUGGAGUUUAGUUAUUUGAAUAAGCUUAACAAUACUCAGUUUCCUUGAACAAGCCUGAUAAUGCUCAAACUCUUGUUGCCAACAUGUAUAUAAGCUUAGUUUCUCUGAUUUAAUUUUUUCUGUUCAAUUGUUAGCUUAAUUUCAUCAGAAUAUAUCAGAACUGAAUCCAUCUACUGUUCUAACAACAAACACUUAUUUUCUUAAUCCCUAUUGUUUUAAUUCUACAAAUCAAGUCUCGCAGACCAUCAUCUGUAAUCAGAAAUCCAAAGUCUUGAGCUUCCUAGAAAUGCUUGAUUUGAUAAUAGGGCUAAUUACCUCCAUUCCAAGGUCUCAGUUCUCAUCACUUGUUGCACAUAUUCCAUGUGCUUUUCUGGAAUCCUUUUACCACUUAAAUUUCAUGAAAUUUUUUUGAUGCAAUACAGGUGGGACAAGGAUUGCAGGUUAAGGUUGCCACAUUGGAAACCUAUAUCCAGAUUAACCCUUACAAGAAACUAAUUUGCAUUAGUAAAGGACUCAACUGAUGAUAAGCUCUUGCCAAAACAAAUAAAACAAGAAUUGUUGGUUAUGAUUUUUCUUUAUAUGGUUUGACUGCUGCCCUGAUAACCAGCAAUGAUCAUAUUGACGAAUUUACAAUUUUUGAUUAUGAACUAACUUUCAGGUUCAUCCCAACAUCAAGGAAUCAGAACGCUACCGCCUAUGCAAAACCAUAGAUUGCCAGAAGCUGUCUCAAGAUGCAUGCAGCCAUGCAGCUCAAAAUGAGCGGCUACCAGUGCAAAUGGCAGUACAAGUUUUGUACUUUGAGCAGAUCAGGCUUCGAAAUGCUAUGAAUGGGAACCAUGAUCAGCUCUUCUUUGGUUUGGUACAUGGUCAAUAUCCUCAAAGAUCAGGUAGUGGAGUAGGGAGUGGGGCCAUCUCCCCAAGGGAUAAUUAUGCAUCAGUGAGGAGAGAGAACAGGGAACUGAAGCUUGAGGUUGCAAGAAUGAGGAUGAGGCUGACUGAUUUAGAGAAAGAUCAUGCCUCGAUGAAACAGGAGCUUGUUCGGGCAAAUCCUGCUAAUAAAUUACUCAGAUCAUUCACCAAAAAGCUAGGUAAGCUGAAUGCACUGUUUCGGAUGAAGGAUGUCAAACCUAUACGUGCAAAGGCUGCUUCAGAUGCCCGGUUUCUGUUUCAGAAGAGGCGGCGCCACUCCAUUUCUUGAGGCUGUGAGUGCAUGGGUUUUCAGUGUCUAAAUUUGUGGUUGUGUUGAUUUCUAUAUAGUUGAUGAUAAAUAUUUGUUUUGCAUGAAAUUUCUAUUCUGUUUCGCACUAACACUCUAGAAAUGUAGUCAAUUCUGUAUUCAAAAGACUAUGUUCCAGAAAUAGUUAAAGGAUUGGAUCUAUGUACAAAGUAAAUAUCAUCUUGCUGCAUCUGUCAUGGUAAUCCUAUGUGAUUUUUGGAAGAGUAUCUAAAAUGGAAACUUAUUUGGAAAAACAGAUCUAGUUUGCUGCAAAUACGAAACAUCCCUAAAUCUGAAGAAGAAAAUGCUAAAUGAUCAAAGAUAUUCAUGAAAUGGAGAUCAAUUUUUUCAGGGAAAAACAUAUGUAAAGAAAUGGAAUCAUAGUAAAACACAGUAAUUUUGGUUUAGUCAUUGUAGAAGGGAUCUGGCUAUCAUGAGAUACAGAAGAUGAUAACCUCCUUUUUCUUUACCUACCAAAAAUGCAGAAUAUAACCUCCUUUUUCUUUACCUCAAGUAAUUCACCAACCCCACCUAAUUCCAACAAAAUUAUUCCCUGAUCAAAAGGGAAUAAUUUAGGAGUCCUUUUUUCUUCUUUUUGUUGUUUGGGGAUGAACAUGUCAAGGAGUUUGGAACUAUAACAGUUGUUGCACCUCAGCUGAUGGUUCACAAUGGGCAGUCUCUUAACACAUUGCAAUCACAUCAAUGUAGACCCACUUUUCUAGCUGGAAUUAGCAAUGUACUGAUUUAUCCUACACGGCAUGUCGCUGAAAAAAAACAAAUGGAAAGAAAAACCUCCAUGAAAUCACCAAGUUUGAACUUUGAAGUUAUAUAAGGAGAGGAGAAGUACCAACAGAGAUGAAAGUUGUGGUGACCAAGGCGAGGAUGUUGGGAAGCAUCCCAACUGGUAGAGGAACGGGGAAGGAAAAAGGUAGGGUAAUCUGAU
rnacentral:lncRNA from 1 species